AAUAAACCACUAUUUCUUUUUGUUUUUGUUCAAAGUUGAAGUCUUUGUAGUAUUUAUAAUAAAUGGACUUAUGAAUGAGUUAAAAAGUUUUCAAAAUCGGUAUAUCAUCUUUCUCUUUUCAUCAUCCCAGUAGUCUUAUCUUUAUCUUAGCCCAUUGGGCAAAUAAUUCACUGGUCUGCAAUGGUUAGAUUGAGUUUUUAUAUAUGUU
rnacentral:lncRNA from 1 species